rnacentral:tRNA from 1 species
GGGCCCGUAGCUCAGCUUGGUUAGAGCGCACGCCUGAUAAGCGUGAGGUCGGUGGUUCAAAUCCACCCGGGCCCA